AGACGUCUACAUUAGAUACCCGGGUAGUCCCAGCCGUAAACUAUGCGCGUUAGGUGUAUCGGUGACCACGAGUUACCGAGGUGCCGAAGGGAAACCGUGAAACGUGCCGCCUGGGAAGUACGGUCGCAAGGCUGAAACUUAAAGGAAUUGGCGGGGGAGCACCACAACAGGUGGAGCCUGCGGUUUAAUUGGACUCAACGCCGGGAAGCUCACCGGAUAAGACAGCAGAAUGAUUGCCGGGCUGAAGACCCUGCAUGACUAGCUG
rnacentral:rRNA from 1 species